CCCUGGAAAUGGCACAGUUCUGGGCACAUAGUGCAACCCCAUAGGUGUUUCUCACAUGAAGGAUGAGUACAGGAAUAAAUAAAUGGACAUCUUGACCCAGCAAUAAAUGGCUGAGGGAAAAGACCCAAAUAUUAAAGGGACAAAUAAUACUCCUACAAGGGACACUUCUAUGAUUUGAAGGAAAGAAAAAUAGAAAAAUAAAGGUCUGUCUUGAAGGAGGAAAGGUGAGCUUGGAAAUCAGAGAAAAGAGCUCGUGAUCUUGGGCAUAUGUUGAAGGGGGCUUUGGGAUAUUGAAGUUUAGAGUCUCACUCAUACAAUUCUCUCUUCCAUUCAAUUCGUUUCAGUUCAAACAGCAUUUCCUGGACACCCAUUUAUUUUAGAACUUGCGUUAAACCCUAAGAGACAAGGAUAAGCAGACCCAGGCCUUGCCUGCCCUCUAGGACCUCAGAGCCAAUAAUCAAUCAACCGUCACACACAUUAAAUUCAAUGCAAAAGCAAUCACCAAGUUUAUUAGGGCAAUGAAGGGAAGAAGAAUUAACAAGACCUGGGUCCAAACAUGAAUAAAGUUAGUCCCGUGCUGAAAGCCUGGACCAAAAGCCCCAUAAUGUAUCCUGGACAUCUCUCCACUAGCCAGCUGUGUGACAAAGCAUGGGAGAAUAUGGUGGUUAAGAACAUAGACUCUGGCCCCAGACUGCUGGGCAUGGAGACCAGCUCUGCUCCUCAUUAGCUGUGUGACCUGGAAAAGGUGCUUAACGUUUCUGCUUCUCAGUUUCCUCAACUGCUAAACAGUAAGUACCUCAUAAGGCUGUUGAGCAAACACCCACACAUGCAUGUUGUGUACAAUCUUAGAACAAUGCCUGAUGUAUAUUAAGUGUGGCAUGAUUGUUUGCUUUUUUCACUAGAACAUAGUCUUCAUGGGGGCAGGGAGUUGUCACUGUUUUGUUCACUGUUAUAGCUGAAGAAUUUAGAAUCAUACCUGUUACAUAGUGAGCGCUCAGAAAAUUUUGCUCCGUGAAUGGGGAUAUCACCUUCCAGCU
rnacentral:lncRNA from 1 species